CCCUUUUCGGUUGCUAAAACAGUUUUAUACCAAAUGUUUUUAAAGUUAUAUAGCCUGCUAAGGACCUAGUUAUGAGCUCCUUUAAAUGCUAAGAUAGAGAUACUAAUCUUUUUUUAAUCGUAGCAAGAACACUUAACAUGAGUUUUACUUUUUUAAACAAACUUUGCAGUGUGCUACACAGCAUUGUCAACUAGAGGGAUAAUGUCGUAGACAUGUCUUCAUUCUGCAGAGACAGAAGGCUCAUUCAAGAUCUUCUGACGUCGUGGCAAGUGAUAAGUCCGAGGGCUGCCGUAGAGUCAACCAAGCAUUAA
rnacentral:lncRNA from 1 species